AUGGCUCAGGAUAAACGCUGGCGGCGUGCCUAAUACAUGCAAGUCGAUCGCUGGAAUUCCAGCUUGGCUGGAAUGAAGGAGAGGCGAACGGGUGAGGUAAUACAUAAGCAACCUGCCCACGAAGACUGGGAUAAUUCCUGGAAACGGGGACUAAUACCGGAUAGGUAGUGUGAUCGCAUGAUCGCACUAUUAAAGGUUCAAGACACUGGUGGAUGGGCUUAUGGCGCAUUUAGCUGGUUGGUGAGGUAACGGCCCACCAAGGCGAUGAUGCGUAGCCGGCCUGAGUGGGUGAUCGGCCACAUUGGAACUGAGAUACGGUCCAGACUCCUACGGGAGGCAGCAGCGGGGAAUAUUGGGCAAUGGGCGAAAAAAGCCUGACCCAGCAACGCCGCGUGAGGGAAGAAGGUCUUCGGGUUGUAAACCUCUGUCCUUGGUGAAAAGGAAGGAUGGUAGCCAAGGAGGAAGCUCCGGCUAACUACGUGCCAGCAGCUGC
rnacentral:rRNA from 1 species